GCAGUCGCCGCGGGAAUACGUAGGUGGCAAGCGUUGUCCGGAAUUAUUGGGCGUAAAGGGCUCGCAGGCGGUUUCUUAAGUCUGAUGUGAAAGCCCCCGGCUCAACCGGGGAGGGUCAUUGGAAACUGGGAAACUUGAGUGCAGAAGAGGAGAGUGGAAUUCCACGUGUAGCGGUGAAAUGCGUAGAGAUGUGGAGGAACACCAGUGGCGAAGGCGACUCUCUGGUCUGUAACUGACGCUGAGGAGCGAAAGCGUGGAGAGCGAACAGGAUUAGAUACCCCCGUAGUCCCUGUCUCUUAUAC
rnacentral:rRNA from 1 species